CGCAAGCUGCGCUCAGACACUUUGGAGAAGGAGCACUGUACACUCAGUCUUCAUCGCCUUCGGCGCCUAGCCCAGGGAUGAGAACCUACCAGCCCAGGGAUGGUUCCACCCACAAUGAACUGGCCCUUCCACCGUCAAUUCCGAACUAAGAGAAUGCCUUACAGCUGGAUCUUCUGGAAGCAUCUUCUCAUCUGAGGAAACAGAAAUGGCACCAAGUUCCAAGAACAUCUCACCCUAUCAAAGAUAAUAUGGAAGUUCAAAGCCACCCAGUGUUUGCAAGUCAGACCCCGCCUGGGAGGUUCAAGACAACCACAAUGUGAAGUUUAUUUUAUAACUGGGGAAAUUAAAAAGAAAAAAAAGGCUGAGGCAUUAUUUUGGUGGUAAUUGACAUACAAACUGCCCAAUUUCAGUACUAAAUUAGCUGAUCAUUUGGGGAGUAUUUUGAUUUUUUUUUCUUUUUGUAUUUUAGGGGUGUUUUUACAUCAAACUUGGAUAUUCUCCAAAACAUGUCGAAACAAAACUGUUCCUAAAAUAAUUUUUGCUUGGACUGGCACAUACCCCAGAUAACCCUCCGAACUGAUUCGCAGUAUUGUCUGAGAUUUCUAGCUCUUGUAAAGAUUUAAAUAAAUGAAAGCUAAGAGUGUGUCUUCCAUACUCAAUUAG
rnacentral:lncRNA from 1 species